UCAACAUUGAAUACGAACGCUCCUGGAGC
rnacentral:piRNA from 1 species